CCUUGCUCUGUGUGUUGGGGGGCCGAUUUCAGAUUAUACCAGAGAAGCUCUGGAAGUUGCAAAAACGUUUCCACCAACACUGCACACCCACGUGAAAACCAGAGUACAGGAGAGAAAAGGGAAGAAAAAGAGGAGCAUGAUGAGCACCAUAUAAACCACCAGAAGAUGUGGCAAAGGGAGAGCACUCCAGGGAACAUCGUUGCUGUGAAUGCAUGGGCUUUCCCAAGUUCCUCUCCUGAUGUUCCCUCCCCUUAAGGAUGAUAAUUUGGUGGCCAUUUGCUCGUUUUUGAGAAAGCCAAGCAUGAGAACAAAAACAUUUAGAGGAAGACAGCCCAAUGUCAUCACUGUUGCAAAGGAUGAAGACAAGAUGUGAGGAAUUAAGCCAAAGGAGAAACCAAAGAAUUAGACUAAUUACUUGUUAUAACAAGUAUUGGGCUCUCUAGAUAAAUGGGAGGAAAUGGUGAUGUCUCCUCCCUCUCAUCCACUCUAACCUAAAAACAGCCGUGUUUUACAGAGCAUGCCUGACCCGACCUACUCACCUGGAAAGCAGGGAACUUGAAAAUUAAAGCAAAAUAAAGGCAUUUUUUAGCUGCCUCUAGAAGACAAGCUCUGUCCUGCUUCAGUGUGCUCACCGCCUAGAAGCAAGAGUGGGGAAGGAGGAAAAGUGGGUAGAGAAACAACAGAAGUGCUCCCACCCGUUGCCCCCCUACCCUGUUCCUCAGCCCUGCAUGGAGAGGAAAGGAGGAUUCCUCUCUUCUAGGGAAACAUGUGGACAGAAAUGAAAAGCUCCUUCCCCCCCAACAGAGGAUAACACAUUCUGAGGAGAUCAUGUGGAAAAUACAGUAUUUAGAGCUCUGCCAGCUGAGAUUUUUUGGAGCAAGAGAAAUGUACCUGAAAUGUGUCAAAAUGAAUAUCCUCCGAAGGAAAUAAUAGCACAUCUUUGCAUAGCCCAAGAUGGAGCAUAGGGCCAACAGAUGGCAACUAAAGAUGGAGUGACCAACCGUCCUGGUUUGCUCAGGACUGCAGGGUCCUCCAGGACACAAUUUUCAGUUCCAACCAAGACAUUGCUGGGCAAACAAGAACACUUGGUCACUUGGGAUGACAGAUUGCGAUUCAAUGAAGGGAAGACACUUUUAACAGUCAGGACUGUCCAACGGGAGGUAAUGAGUUCACUGUUUGGAGAUGCUCACUCUCGGCUCAGCAUGAGGCUGACACUAACUGAAAGGGAGGUGGGAAUUGGUGACUUUCCAAGGCAACCCACCUCUGGAGUCUGGAACUUCAUAUAUGCGGAAGGCCUAUGUGAGAUGAGGAGCUAAAUUCUGUGAGCCACGGAGGAAAAGAGUUUCUUUAAUUCCAAACAAUGCAUUAUAGUCUCAGUAGUCAUAGCUUUUCUUUCAUGGGUUGACCGCUCACAACUUAAAGCCAACACAGAGAACAGUGCUGGUGCCCUUUCCCGGGGCCAGCCUCAGGGCCUCAGUUAAAGGUGAAUAGCCAGUGUCGCUCAUAGGGGUCACCCUAAAGGAGGGAGAGCAUCCCAGUGCCCCUGCCUUUUAAAAAUUGUAUUGGAAUAUAAAAUUAACAAAGUCAUAAUUGGUUUGCUUUUAGCAUGGAUAUAAUAACCUUUCUCUAAGAGAUUUAUUUUUUCAUGCGUUUCAUAUAUAUAUGUUUGUGCUAGAAACAUAUAUAUAUAUAUAUAUAACACAUAUAUAUAAACAUAUAUAUCAUACACACACACACACACACACACGUUUUGCUUCUGCUAGAAACUGCAAGUACAUUGUAAGUAUGAUGCUCUCUGAAAAGGAUUCGAUUUGGGAUCCCUGGGUGGCGCAGCGGUUUGGCACCUGCCUUUGGCCCAGGGCGUGAUCCCGGAGACCCGGGAUCGAAUCCCACAUCGGGCUCCCGGUGCAUAGAGCCUACUUCUCCCUCUCUCUGCCUGUGUCUCUGCCUCUCUCUCUCUGUAACUAUCAUAAAUAAAUAAAAAUUAAAAAAAAAUAAAAAAAAAAAAAGGAUUCGAUUUUACUUGCCAUGGUAGCCUGUGUUGAAUUACACAGUGGUUAGGCUGGUGAGAAGGAAGUUAGUUCAUAGAAACCUCUCUCUCAGUUCCUUCUUUCUCAAAACUAUGUAACAAGGGCCUGCUUUUUUUUUUUUUUUUUUUUACAAGAGGUAGGGGAGGAAACACCAGAAAGGAUAUGGUCAGUGUCACCACAAACUUGGAUUAUUUAAAUGCACUUGUAACAAGAAAGUCCCAAAUCCAUGAGUAACAGUUCCUGUAUACCUUAAAGCCUGUGGACCUAGGGCAGCAAUGACUUACAGCUGCAGGAGCCAAGGCCUCCAUUUGGCUCACAGGGACUGGCCUGGUCCACAGUCAUCAUAGGAGCUUACGAUUGGAAUGACUACAUGUUUCCAUUUGCUCAGGACAGCCCUGGGUUGUUCAU